rnacentral:rRNA from 1 species
UACGUAGGGUGCAAGCGUUGUCCGGAAUUAUUGGGCGUAAAGAGCUCGUAGGCGGUUUGUUGCGUCGGCCGUGAAAACCUGCAGCUUAACUGUGGGCCUGCGGUCGAUACGGGCAGACUUGAGUUCGGUAGGGGAGACUGGAAUUCCUGGUGUAGCGGUGAAAUGCGCAGAUAUCAGGAGGAACACCGGUGGCGAAGGCGGGGUCUCUGGGCAGUAACUGACGCUGAGGAGCGAAAGCGUGGGGAGCGAACAGG